UUCAAAGGAAAAGGAGAUUAUUCCGUUUC
rnacentral:piRNA from 1 species